rfam:Yarrowia lipolytica complete mitochondrial genome, strain W29
AAACCUUUAAUUUAACGGUAAAAUACAUAAUUGAUAAUUAUGAUACGUCAGGUUCGACUCCUACAAGGUUUA